rnacentral:rRNA from 1 species
UACGGAAGGCAGCAGUGGGGAAUAUUGCACAAUGGGCGAAAGCCUGAUGCAGCUAUGCCGCGUGUAUGAAGAAGGCCUUAGGGUUGUAAAGUACUUUCAUCGGGGAGGAAAAACAAAACUAAUAAUUUUAUUUCUUGACGUUACCCGAAAAAGAAGCACCGGCUAACUCCGUGCCAGCAGCCGCGGUAAUACGGAGGGUGCUAGCGUUAAUCAGAAUUACUGGGCGUAAAGAGCACGUAGGUGGUUUUUUUAAGUCAGAUGUGAAAUCCCUGGGCUUAACCUAGGAACUGCAUUUUGAAACUGAAAUACUAGAGUAUCGUAGAGGGAGGUAGAAUUCUAGGUGUAGCGGUGAAAUGCGUAGAUAUCUGGAGGAAUACCUGUGGCGAAAGCGGCCUCCUAAACGAAUACUGACACUGAGGUGCGAAAGCGUGGGGGAGCAAAACAGGGAUUAGAUACC